rnacentral:rRNA from 1 species
AUUGAACGCUGGCGGCAGGCCUAACACAUGCAAGUCGAGCGGAGCGGCGGACGGGUGAGUAAUGCCUAGGAAUCUGCCUGGUAGUGGGGGAUAAGGUACGGAAACGGGCGAUAAUACCGCAUACUAUCAGAUGACACUAGGUCGGAUUAGCUGGUUGGUGGGGUAAAGGCCUACCAAGGCGACGAUCCGUAACUGGUCUGAGAGGAUGAUCCGUCACACGGGAACUGAGACACGGUCCAGACUCCUACGGGAGGCAGCAGUGGGGAAUUUUGGACAAUGGGCGAAAGCCUGAUCCAGCCAUGCCGCGUGUGUGAAGAAGGUCUUCGGAUUGUAAAGCACUUUUAGUUGGGAGGCGUUACCAGCAGAAUAAGCACCGGCUAACUUCGUGCCAGCCGCCGCGGUAAUUC